UAGGGAAUCUUCGGCAAUGGACGAAAGUCUGACCGAGCAACGCCGCGUGAGUGAAGACGGUUUUCGGAUCGUAAAACUCUGUUGUUAGAGAAGAACAAGGACGUUAGUAACUGAACGUCCCCUGACGGUAUCUAACCAGAAAGCCACGGCUAACUACGUGCCAGCAGCCGCGGUAAUACGUAGGUGGCAAGCGUUGUCCGGAUUUAUUGGGCGUAAAGCGAGCGCAGGCGGUUUCUUAAGUCUGAUGUGAAAGCCCCCGGCUCAACCGGGGAGGGUCAUUGGAAACUGGGAGACUUGAGUGCAGAAGAGGAGAGUGGAAUUCCAUGUGUAGCGGUGAAAUGCGUAGAUAUAUGGAGGAACACCAGUGGCGAAGGCGGCUCUCUGGUCUGUAACUGACGCUGAGGCUCGAAAGCGUGGGGAGCAAACAGG
rnacentral:rRNA from 1 species